GCCCUGGUGGCUCAGCGGUAGAAUUCCCGCCUGCCACGCUGGCAGCCUGGGUCUGAAUCCCAGCAAAGGCA
rfam:Taeniopygia guttata chromosome 1A, whole genome shotgun sequence.